AUUAACUGGACCUGUGGCAAACUUAGCAUGCAGCCUGCUCAAAGGUCUUGGUACUCCUGGUGGUCUUGUUAAUCUUAGAGGGAUCCUGAGUGGUGUCUUGGGUUAAGUCAAGAACUAAACUCCUAGCCGUCAACGAAACAUGCUCUGGACGCAUGUAGCUGAAUAGAAGAAGUUGCAAAAAAAAAAAGAAAAACACAUCAAAAAAGUCAUAUUUCUUGAUGAUUAAUAAAAUUAUUUCUUAUAAAUCUUCUAUUUUCA